ensembl:misc_RNA Metazoa_SRP Metazoan signal recognition particle RNA
GCCGGGUGUGGUGGUGCAUGCCUGUAAUCCCAGCUACUUGGGAGGCUGAGGCAGGAGAAUCACUUGAACCCGGGAAGCGGAGGUUGCAAUGAGCUGAGAUCGUGCCAUUGCACUCCAACCUGGAUGACAGAGUGAGACUCUGUCUCAA